rnacentral:tRNA from 1 species
UGCUGUAUAGUGUAAACGGUUAGCACAUAUGACUUUGACUCAUAUAAUAACAGUUCGAGUCUGUUUACAGCUUUCAA